AUUGAACGCUGGCGGCAUGCCUUACACAUGCAAGUCGAACGGCAGCACGGGAGCAAUCCUGGUGGCGAGUGGCGAACGGGUGAGUAAUAUAUCGGAACGUGCCCAGUCGUGGGGGAUAACGUAGCGAAAGUUACGCUAAUACCGUAUACGAUCUAAGGAUGAAAGCGGGGGACUCGCAAGAGCCUCGCGCGAUUGGAGCGGCCGAUAUCAGAUUAGGUAGUUGGUGAGGUAAAGGCUCACCAAGCCGACGAUCUGUAGCUGGUCUGAGAGGACGACCAGCCACACUGGGACUGAGACACGGCCCAGACUCCUACGGGAGGCAGCAGUGGGGAAUUUUGGACAAUGGGCGCAAGCCUGAUCCAGCAAUGCCGCGUGCAGGAUGAAGGCCUUCGGGUUGUAACUGCUUUGUACGGAACGAAACGGUGAGCUCUAAUACAGUUUG
rnacentral:rRNA from 1 species